rnacentral:rRNA from 1 species
AGUGAACGCUGGCGGUAGGCCUAACACAUGCAAGUCGAACGGCAGCACAGUAAGGGCUUGCUCUUACGGGUGGCGAGUGGCGGACGGGUGAGGAAUAUAUCGGAAUCUACUUUUUCGUGGGGGAUAACGUAGGGAAACUUACGCUAAUACCGCAUACGACCUACGGGUGAAAGCAGGGGAUCUUCGGACCUUGCGCGAUUGAAUGAGCCGAUGUCGGAUUAGCUAGUUGGCGGGGUAAAGGCCCACCAAGGCGACGAUCCGUAGCUGGUCUGAGAGGAUGAUCAGCCACACUGGAACUGAGACACGGUCCAGACUCCUACGGGAGGCAGCAGUGGGGAAUAUUGGACAAUGGGCGCAAGCCUGAUCCAGCCAUACCGCGUGGGUGAAGAAGGCCUUCGGGUUGUAAAGCCCUUUUGUUGGGAAAGAAAAGCAGCAGGUUAAUACCCCGCUGUUCUGACGGUACCCAAAGAAUAAGCACCGGCUAACUUCGUG